CCUCGGUCCCUCCAACCCCCAAAGAGGCGGUCGGGUAGCCGGGCCUGCGCCUCCCUCUGGCCUGCAGGGCACCCGUUGCGGCUCUGGGGGCGAGGAAGAGGUCGGCGCGGGCGAGGCGGGGCGCGGCACGGGCGCCCUAGGCGGUAGAGGGAGGCGCUCCUUCGCGCCGGGAGGAGGGGGCCCUUCUGCUCUUGGGAUCCCGUCGUGCAGGUGUUUGUGCUGACGCUGACGAAUCGGGGCCGGUCCCACCUCCCGCUGGGGAGCGGGAGGCCGCUGACUGCCCGAGUUCACGGUGCGGGCACGCGCCUCCGGUACCUUGCCUGCUCGGGAAGCACGUCCGCACCCCAGCACAGCGCGUUUGCGCCCCUACGCGCACGCGGCAUAGCCGCAACCCAACAGCACAUCUGCACACCAACACAGCACGCUUGCACCCUAACAGCAUGUCUGCACCCCAACACAGCACACUUGCACCCCAACACAGCAUGUCUGCACCCCAACACAGCACGCUUGCACCCCAACACGUUUGCACCCCAACACAGCACACUUGCCUCCUAAUGUGCACAAGGCACAUCUGCACCCCAACACAGCACGUUUGCACCCAACACACAGCGUAUGCGCACCCUGACACAGCAUGCUUGCACCCCAACACAAACAAGGCACGUCUGCACUCCUACAUGUGCACACAGCACGUCUCCAUUUAAAAGCACAAGGGUCAUUUGCACCCCAAGACAGCACUGUCUCCGGAUGGAAGACCAAAGCUAGGAAACCACCCAUCAUUCAUCAAACGAGAACCAUCCAUUUCAAAGACAAAACAGCUCAAGUCAGGGUCCUGGGCUCUACCCGCAUCCCUAUCAGAAAAUGCGCCACCGCGGAUUUUAAGUCAUCUCUACACUCAAGGUGGGGCAGGCCCUCACACCCCGAUUUCAACAGCGGCAGGCACCACCGAGUGAGCCAGCCAGGCGCCCCUGACAUACAGCAACUUUAAAAACCUGCCAACGGCCUGGGUCUUGACAGCACGCCUCCUGGAGCAGGCGAGCACCGGGCUCGCAGUCUGCGGAGGAGCACCCCGCCGGCCCCAGGGCACCCGCGGCGCCGGGGCGAACCGGGCAGGCCGAGCGGAGCCAGCUCCGCCCGCAGAGACCGCGACAGGACACCCGCCCACCUGGGGGAAGGAAGACCGCGAGCGGCACGGCACGGCGGCGCG